UCAAGAGUACGUGAAACCGUUCAGGGGUAAACCUGAGAAACCCAAAAGAUCGAAUGAGGAGAUUCAUCGUCAAUAUAUUUAAUAUAUAUAUAAGUUAUGAUGUAAAUUAUUUUUCUCUUUAUGGGUAUUAUAAUAUAUACAUACUUGUAUUAUUUUAUUGUUAAAUAUUAUCGACGUGCACUUCUCCUCUAGUAGGACGUUGCGACCCGUUGGGUGUCGGUCUAUGGCCUUAUUAAAUAGACUUUAAUUCGUUAAAAAAAUUAAAGAUUAAUUUGUGUUUCCUGACCGACUGCCUGGCGGUAUUCAUAUGAUAAUGAGUCGCAUUUUAUUAUGCGUUCAUACCCAUCGCAAGCGAGGCCAGUUUAUUAUCCUGGUAGUUACGGACUUAGUGCCGUCGCUGGGCCUGGCCAGCUGUUAGCUGUAUGGUGUUCUAGAACUGACUCAAAUAUAAUAUUAUCGGUCGGCAAUGCUACUGCUUUGGGUACUUUCAGGACCCGUCUUGAAACACGG
rnacentral:rRNA from 1 species